ACCCCCAGCAAUGGGCAAAGAGCUACCUUGUCGGUGGUGGUGUUCUUAUAUCAGUCAGGGGGAGAGUCGAUGUCAGUCCUUUGUUCAUCCUGGUGUGGUGCCUGGCUUGGUGGCCAAAACUGUUUUAUGCCAGGAAACAUAA
ensembl:snoRNA LOC120093970 small nucleolar RNA SNORA48